CGUUCCACCUCCAAGGCGCAUGCGCCGCUGAAGAAAAGGAGUCCGCCCCUUAGCAGCCGCAGUUUGGAAGCCCCACUAAUUCCAGCCGCGCAGUCCUCGGCCUCGAGAAGCCACCCCGGGGACACCAUCGUAGGACCUAACCACAUCAGCCACACCAUCAGGGCUUGUUCACCUGCACAUCUACCAAUGUGAUAUAUGUCAUCAUGUGCCAGCAAUGCCCCUCUGCCAUGUACAUUGGACAGUCUCUACACAAAAGAAUAAAUGGACACAAAUCAGACAUCAAGAAUUGUAACAUUCAAAAACCAGUAGAAGAGCACUUCAGUCUCCCUGGACACUCAAUAACAGACUUAAAAGUGGCAAUUCUUCAAUAAAAAAACUUCAAAAACAGACUUCAGUGAGAAACUGCAGAGCUGGAAUUAAUUUGCAAACUUGACACCAUCAAAUUAGGCCUGAAUAAAGACUGCGAGUGGCUGGGUCAUUACAAUUUUUUCCCCCUCUGUUGAUACUCGCACAUUCUUGUCAACUGUUGUGAAUAGGCCACAUCCACCAUGGUUGAAUUGGCCUUGUUAGCACUUCAAAAAGUAAUUUCCCCUCAGUUGAUAUUCACUCCUUCUUGUCCACUGGGAAAUGGGUGACAUAAGGCAACUCCCAUUUUUUCAUGUGCUGUGUAUUUAUACCGGCCUGCUGUAUUUUCCAUUCCAUGCAUGUGAUGAAGUGGGUUAUAGCCCACGAAAGCGUAUGCCCAAAUAGAUGUGUUAGUCUCUAAGGACUCACAAGGACUCCUCGUUUUUUUUAUGCUUGCAGUGUUCGACGUGGUAAGUCAGGGCUUGAUGUUUUCUUGUUAGGAUCACUAGGUACUUUUCAUUGUGUGCCCUAUUUCUGCAUGGAACCUUCAAAAUGGGGCACCUAAUUCAGUCCCAGCAAUUUCUUUUUAAAAUAUGCAUUUAAAUACAUCAUCAAUGCAGUGAUCAGACAUAUUUCUCUCCUUGUGUAGUUCUUCCAUUCAUUUAUUCAGAGUGAGCCAUAUGUGCUAUAAUAUGCUUCUUUGUAGAUUUCACUUUGUGGUGCAUAGCAAGAGAACAACAUAAGGAAGCAGGGGGAUAGGAAGGGGAAGAUGAAAUCACUGCCAUGCAUGAUUUGAGAAUACAAGCAACAUAAGACAAAAAAAGAAACAUAGACAAAAGAAACAAAAAUACUGAAAGGAAAUAGAUUGGAAAGAAGCAAGAAAAGAAAGGAGUCCAGUGACUUUUAGGUUAUAGGAUUGUGUUUUGCGUAUGCAGGUUGUUUCCUACAUCUUAGUGUAUUUUUCUGGUACAUAUCACCGCCAUACAUGUUGGCAAGAGGGUAGAAUGUUGUUAUUCUGGGGACUUCAGUUAAACUGCUGUUUACUACUGUAAUUAGAUCAAUGGAACAUGUAAUUUUUAAAAUCACAUGCUAUUUUAGCAGACACUUGCUUCUCUGAUGUUUAAGCCUAGACAGGAAUACAUGUGUUUUCCAAAGGUAGCGGGUAAAAUUUACAAAAAGGCCUGAAUGACUUACAGAAUCAUAGGACUGGAAGGGACCUCAAGAGGUCAUCUAGUCCAGUCCCCUGCACUCAUGUCAGGACUAAGUAUCUAGACCAUCCCUGACAGGUGUUAGUUUAACCUGCUCUUAAAAAUCUCCAGUGAUGGAGAUUCCACAACCUCCUUAGGCAAUUUAUUCCAGUGCUUAACCACCCUGGCAGUUAGGAAGUUUUUCAUAAUGUUCAGCCUAACCUCACCUUGCUGCAAUUUAAGCUCAUUGCUUCUUGUCCUAUCCUCAGAGGUUAAGAAGAACAAUUUUUUCCCCUCCUCCUUAUAACAACCUUUUAUGUACUUGAAAACUAUUAUUGUGUGUCCUCUCAGUCUUCUCUUUUCUAGGCUAAACAAACCCAAUUUUUUUCAAUCUUCCUUCAUAGGUCAUGUUUUCUAGACCUUUAAUAAUUUUUGUUCACUUUUUUUUCCAGGAGUGUUACACUGUUGACUCAUAUUUAGCUUGUGGUCCACUAUGAUCCCCAGAUCCCUUUCCGCAGUACUCCUUCCUAGGCAGUCAUUUCCCAUUUUGUAUGUGUGCAACUGAUUGUUCCUUCCUUAGUGGAGUACUUUGCACUUGUACUUGUUGAAUUUCAUCCUAUUUACUUCAGACCAUUUCUCCAGUUUGUCCAGAUCGUUUUGAAUUAUAAUCCUAUUUUCCAAAGCACUUACAACCCCUCCCAGGUUGGUAUCGUCCACAAACUUUUAAAGUGUAUUCUCUAUGCCAUUAUCUAAAUCAUUGAUGAAGACAUUGAUCAGAACCGGACCCAGAACUGAUCUCUGCGGUUCCUCACUCGUUAUGCCCUUCCAGCAUGACUGAACCACAGAUAACUAUUCUCAGGGAAUGGUUUUCCAACCACUUAUGCAUCCUCCUUAUAGUAGUUCCAUCUAGGAUGCAUUUCCGUAGUUUUUUUGUUUAUGCUCAAGUCCCAUUUUCAAAAGUAAGGUAGGCACUUAGGCUCUAAUCUACAGAAGUAUUUAGCUCCUUACUUGAUUUCUGGGUCUCAGCACCUCUAGUCAGUGGGACAUAGUCUCUGAAGUGGUAAAGUCACUUUUGAAAAUGGGACUUUGGCUUGGUCUACAGUCUGUUUGUACUGGUAUAACUAUUUCAGUUAGGGAUGUAAUUUUUUACUGAAGUGGUUAUAUCCGUACAAUUCCUUGUGUGGAUGCAGGUAUAUCAGUGUAUAGGUGCCUUAUACUGCUAUUGCUUAUUCCCCUUCCCUUGCCAUCUAUAAUUAUACCAGUAUAACUGCCCCCAUGCUGGGGAGGUGGAGGGCUGUACCACUUUAUCAAGGUAGAGUUAAAGCGGAACAACUUUUGUGUAUAGAGAAGCCCUUAGGCAUCUAAGUCACUUAGGUGCUUUUGAAAAUGUUGCCUAGCAUCUUUAGCAGUGUCCUUUCUUUACUAUGCCUCAUUUUUUUCAUGUGUUAAUUAAAAAUACAUGUUUCUGUAAGAAAACAGCAAUCAUGAUGAUUUACCAUUAGGAAAAUAUUUGCAGCGUAUUGUCAUACCAUGCCAAUUUGACUAUUCUACAUUUCUUUCAUUUUUCCCUCAUGUAGGUUAAAAUACAGCAAUAUGUUUUUCUCUAAUGACUUUAAGAUUGAUGUUACUUCUCUUUUUUGCUAUUUUUUUUAAAGUUUGCUACUAAUCACUGAAAGGAGUUAUAUGAAAACUCUUCCUACAGAAGCAGUAGUUUGUCUAAGUAUAUGAUCAUUUCCAUUUUAAUAUUUUUAUGAUUUAAUAAUUCUAGUGACAUCAAAAUAUAAACUAGUGAGGCAGCAAGAAUAGUGUCACACUUCAGUUCUGGGAACUAGUAAAGUCUUGGGUACAAAUCAAGGGCUUGUCUACUUUAGAAAGUUACACUAAUUUAGCUUGAAUUGAUGUAAACCAAUAUAUUUAAACUGGUGCAAAGGGCAAUGUGGAAACUCUCAUUUUGGUACAAUAGUGGUUCAUUAAAGAUAGCGUGCAUCAUC